UGGUCACUGGCGAGGGAACAAAGGGCCGCUGGGCAUCUCCGCCUCUUUGAUGAUGUGGAGUUUUCAAUUAAGUGAAAACGGGAGGCGUGUCUCCUCACAGGUGCCUGGUCUGAGCACCAAGCAGCCAAGGCGGCCGCGGGGUGUCUCGAGGCUGGAACCGUCAGGCCAGAAUGUGGGCUGUCAGAAGAAAGAACACCGUUGCAAAUCUGAUCAGAUCUCCCCUGUGGUCCUGAAAUCGCUGGAGAGGGGAUUCACAUCCAGGUGACACAGGAGUGACGAGGGCUUGACCCAAUCAGCCAGCAGCCAGCACUUCCGAAGGGAUCCCACUUGCCAGACAUGUUCCAAACAGGUCGUGGAUACUGACUCAGCCAAUCCCCCCACCCUGCAGGGUGGGUGCUAUUACAGCUUCCCUGUGGAAGGGGAUACCCAGGGAGGGAGGAGACUGCAGGACACACAGCCAGCAAGGAGCCUGUGGACAGAGCAGCUCAGGGGUCUUGGGGGCAGGUCCCGGGUCUCCAUGUGGGGGCGAGAGGGAGGGGUGGGGACUGGGGCAAGCUGCAGAGCUCAAGCCUGGACUUGGGGCCCCCACGUGCUGCCAGGGGAGGGUCUGGGCCCAGGUGGCCCCUCUCCUGAGACCUUAAGAGAAUCAGAUUCCCAAGGAAAUCUCAAGGUUUUUGCAUGUUGACAAUAGAUUCACUUUUUCCCCAAAACACAGGAGGGAUGAACUAGACACCUUCCUGGCUGGUUUUGGUCCACGGUGUAAACUCUGACUCACAGAAAAUCAUUCUGCAAAGUCGUGAGCAUCAGGGCAUGUUGGU
rnacentral:lncRNA from 1 species